UAUUAUUCUUAGAUGAAUUUAUUUCUAGGUUAGUAGUAGAUAUUUACUUAAAAGCUAAAAAAUUUGGCGGUAAUUUAAUCUUUCCAGAGGAACUUGUUUUUUAAUCGAUAAACCCCGAAAUAUCUUACUUAUCUUAGUAAAGUUUGUAUACCGUCAUUAUCAGGUAAUUUUUAAAAAGUAAAUUUCUAAGUACGAAUAUUUGUAUAAAUUAGACCAUGGUGCAGCUAAUAGGUAAGUUAAAAUGAGUUACAAUAAAUUAUUUUACACGGAUAGUUAAAGAAUAUAAACUAGAAGGAGGAUUUGGUAGUAUUUAGAAUUUAAUAAGUUCUAAAGAUGAUAGCUCUAAAUUAUGUACAUAU
rnacentral:rRNA from 1 species